CCUACGGGUGGCUGCAGUGGGGAAUAUUGCACAAUGGGCGCAAGCCUGAUGCAGCCAUGCCGCGUGUGUGAAGAAGGCCUUCGGGUUGUAAAGCACUUUCAGCGGGGAGGAAGGCGGUGAGGUUAAUAACCUCAUCGAUUGACGUUACCCGCAGAAGAAGCACCGGCUAACUCCGUGCCAGCAGCCGCGGUAAUACGGAGGGUGCAAGCGUUAAUCGGAAUUACUGGGCGUAAAGCGCACGCAGGCGGUCUGUCAAGUCGGAUGUGAAAUCACCGGGCUCAACCUGGGAACUGCAUUCGAAACUGGCAGGCUAGAGUCUUGUAGAGGGGGGUAGAAUUCCAGGUGUAGCGGUGAAAUGCGUAGAGAUCUGGAGGAAUACCGGUGGCGAAGGCGGCCCCCUGGACAAAGACUGACGCUCAGGUGCGAAAGCGUGGGGAGCAAACAGGAUUAGAUACCCUUGUAGUC
rnacentral:rRNA from 1 species